CAUCGCAAAUGAGGCCGAAGCACAAGCAUCUCAAGGUUAUAGGUUAUAUCAUUUUAACGAGGAAAAUUCUUCUGCAAACUGCACCUUAAGGAAGCGACUCAACAUAACCCCGAUACCAGACAGUCACGAUGUCUUACUGCAAGCGGGAUGCGGAAUUCCUUGCCGAAUCAGAGCUAAUGCAGUUGUGGAGCAAGAGCAGAAUACUUCCGAAAACCACACAAUUUCGGUUAGCAGGCCUGUGUUGCAAAAAAUGAAUGUUAUUCGAAAGGUCUCUAAUUGUUGGUUAGGCAAGCACUGUACUGGGAAUAGACGGGCAGCUGACAAUCAGUAUUCUGUCGUACGCGUCUCGAAAUGGGUCUGAGCCUGAACUGGAACGAAACAUUACCCUCUAAAUUGAGGAAGCGUCAACCACGAGUCCCGUGCGAGGAUUACAUGUGCACUUUUCCAACUGGGAAAAGGGACGGUGGAGAGCCCAACAGUGGGAUCGAUACUAUCAGCGUGUUGUAUCUCCUUUCUUUUGGGGAAGUUUAGCUUCACCGAAAAGGAUUCAGAACCGGUCUUCGAAAAUGCCACUAUGGAAAUAAGUCAACUGCCUGACGGGAAGCUAAAGAUACAAAUGGACACAAUUUACGGCGACAACGAAGUUUUAACGCGGGUUAUAACUUUCUC